GGGGAUGUGGUGAAAUUGGCAUCAUACAGGUCUCCAAAACCUUUGUUCUAGGUUCGAGUCCUAGCAUCCCCG
rnacentral:tRNA from 1 species